AACGAACGCUGGCGGCAUGCCUAACACAUGCAAGUCGAACGAUGCCUUCGGGCAUAGUGGCGCACGGGUGCGUAACGCGUGGGAAUCUGCCUUUCGGUUCGGAAUAACUCAGGGAAACUUGAGCUAAUACCGGAUAACGUCGCAAGACCAAAGAUUUAUCACCGAAAGAUGAGCCCGCGUAGGGUUAGCUAGUUGGUGAGGUAAAGGCUCACCAAGGCGACGAUCCUUAGCUGGUCUGAGAGGAUGAUCAGCCACACUGGGACUGAGACACGGCCCAGACUCCUACGGGAGGCAGCAGUGGGGAAUAUUGGACAAUGGGCGAAAGCCUGAUCCAGCAAUGCCGCGUGAGUGAUGAAGGCCUUAGGGUUGUAAAGCUCUUUUACCCGGGAAGAUAAUGACGGUACCGGGAGAAUAAGCCCCGGCUAACUCCGU
rnacentral:rRNA from 1 species